UACGAAGGGGGCUAGCGUUGCUCGGAAUCACUGGGCGUAAAGGGCGCGUAGGCGGAUGGUACAGUCAGACGUGAAAUUCCUGGGCUCAACCUGGGGGCUGCGUUUGAUACGUGCUGUCUGGAGUUCGGAAGAGGGUCGUGGAAUUCCCAGUGUAGAGGUGAAAUUCGUAGAUAUUGGGAAGAACACCGGUGGCGAAGGCGGCGAGCUGGUCCAUUACUGACGCUGAGGCGCGACAGCGUGGGGAGCAAACAGG
rnacentral:rRNA from 1 species